rnacentral:rRNA from 1 species
GACGAACGCUGGCGGCGUGCUUAACACGUGCAAGUCGAACGGAAAGGCCCUUCGGGGUACUCGAGUGGCGAACGGGUGAGUAACACGUGGGUGAUCUGCCCUGCACUUUGGGAUAAGCCUGGGAAACUGGGUCUAAUACCGAAUAGGACCGCGCGCUUCAUGGUGUGUGGUGGAAAGCUUUUGCGGUGUGGGAUGGGCCCGCGGCCUAUCAGCUUGUUGGUGGGGUAAUGGCCUACCAAGGCGACGACGGGUAGCCGGCCUGAGAGGGUGACCGGCCACACUGGGACUGAGAUACGGCCCAGACUCCUACGGGAGGCAGCAGUGGGGAAUAUUGCACAAUGGGCGCAAGCCUGAUGCAGCGACGCCGCGUGAGGGAUGACGGCCUUCGGGUUGUAAACCUCUUUCACCAGGGACGAAGCGCAAGUGACGGUACCUGGAGAAGAAGCACCGGCCAACUACGUG